UACAGAGGGUGCGAGCGUUAAUCGGAAUUACUGGGCGUAAAGCGCACGUAGGCGGCUUGGUAUGUCGGGUGUGAAAUCCCCGGGCUCAACCUGGGAACUGCAUCCGAAACUGCCUUGCUAGAGUAUGGGAGAGGGAAGUGGAAUUUCCGGUGUAGCGGUGAAAUGCGUAGAUAUCGGAAGGAACAUCAGUGGCGAAAGCGACUUCCUGGACCAGAACUGACGUUCAGGCACGAAAGCGUGGGGAGCAAACAGG
rnacentral:rRNA from 1 species